rnacentral:rRNA from 1 species
GACGAACGCUGGCGGCGUGCCUAACACAUGCAAGUCGAGCGAGAGACUUCGGUCUCUAGCGACGGACGGGUGAGUAACACGUGGGUAACCUGCCUCAUAGAGGGGGAUAGCCUCCCGAAAGGGAGAUUAAUACCGCAUAACACUGCGGUUUCGCAUGAAACUGUAGUUAAAGGAGUAAUCCGCUAUGAGAUGGACCCGCGGCGCAUUAGCUAGUUGGUGAGGUAAAGGCUCACCAAGGCGACGAUGCGUAGCCGACCUGAGAGGGUGAUCGGCCACAUUGGAACUGAGACACGGGCCAGACUCCUACGGGAGGCAGCAGUGGGGAAUAUUGCACAAUGGGCGAAAGCCUGAUGCAGCAACGCCGCGUGAGUGAUGAAGGCCUUCGGGUUGUAAAGCUCUGUCUUUUGGGACGAUAAUGACGGUACCAAAGGAGGAAGCCACGGCUAACUACGUGCCAGCAGCCGCCGUAAAAC